rnacentral:rRNA from 1 species
UACGAAGGGUGCAAGCGUUACUCGGAAUUACUGGGCGUAAAGCGUGCGUAGGUGGUUUGUUAAGUCUGUUGUGAAAGCCCCGGGCUCAACCUGGGAAUGGCAAUGGAUACUGGCAAGCUAGAGUGCGGUAGAGGGUAGUGGAAUUCCCGGUGUAGCGGUGAAAUGCGUAGAGAUCGGGAGGAACACCAGUGGCGAAGGCGGCUACCUGGACCAGCACCGACACUGAGGCACGAAGGCGUGGGGAGCAAACAGG